GCGUCAUUAUCAACCUUCAAGCCUAGCUUGUCAUUGGACCUCGUCGUUGAAGACGGGCCCGAAAGAUAACGACGGAGUCGUGUUGGACCCUAGAUGCAAUGAGCUUUUUAGCACGCAUGAUAGUGGUCGGCCGGCCUGGUCUUAACCAUUUAUUUCUCAAGGUUGACCUCGGAUCAGGUAGGGAUACCCGCUGAACUUAA
rnacentral:misc_RNA from 1 species